rnacentral:lncRNA from 1 species
GGACAGAGCCAAGAAAUGCAGCACCUAUCUCGUUGCCUUGCCCAUGGCAAUGUUGGCAACUGUCACCAAGUCAACUUGGUCCUGGCAGGUGUAUGUGCUGGUGUUGAGCAAGGGACAGAAAUGAAGAGUGCAGUGCAUGCAGCAGGCAAAGCUGCACAAACCCCUUUUGGAAGGAGAUGGUCACUGUCACCAGCACAGGCUCCUACAUUAGCAUCCGCUGUCCUUAGGCUUGAAUCUCUCAGGAAAU